UCACAGUGAGCCAGGAAAUGUACCUUACCGUGCUGCACCAUUUUCCCUUCAAUCCCUAGCCAGGACUCUCUCCAUUCACAAGACCAGAAAUGUUCCCUCUUCAGUAUCUCAGUAUCUCAACAUUUUGCUAGUUUCUCACCCAAAAGCAUCCCUGACAAACACCUGCAGAAAUGAACAUCAGAGCAUUGUAAAUAAAUGCUGUAUGGCCCUAUUCCCUCCUCUGAGACUGUCUUCGAGAAAAGUUAAGGCUAGCACAAAAAAGGCAUCUUUCCCCAACACACCACAGUCAUUGCAAUUCCCUUUCGAAAGGCCAAUUCUUUCAGCUCAGGUCUUCUCAGGUAUCCCCUUGGACUCACCCAGGCGCAAAAUCGUGCUUCGUUCUUUCCAGAUCUGGAAGUAAAUGCCUUAACAACAAUUUCAAAAUCAGUCAGUAAAGAUCUGAACUCUAGGCUGAGGUUUCCAUCCCCUGGGUCUCUGCAGGGUGAAGGACCUCUGGGUGAGGGCCUAUACAGCACCAAGCACGUUGGCACUUCCAUCUCCACCAGGAGCUCUAGGCCCUACUCUGGUUUGAUAACAUUAACACUAGAGCAACAGAAGAUUAUAUCCUAGCACUAUAAAGUCACUUUUCUUGGUGUAAAUGUGUUGAUAAUCCUCAAAGCCUAUCUACAGUCUUUUUUCUACUUCUCCAUCAGCAGCAGGACUAACAAAGCCUGGUUCCCUGUGUUCCCCGUGCCCCUCCUGUGUAAUACCUUCCUGUGCCUUCAUGCCCCAGUCCAGAUCCCACCAAAAUGUUCUGCCCCUUCUCUGUCCCUACCUUCCCACCAGGAGAUUACACGUGGUGUGACUGGUCAGGGGCCAUGGAAAUGAUGCUUGGGUGGUCAGCAGAUGUCAAACAGACUCUGCUGAAUUUUCCCUCUACUCUAUUCAGCUAAUGAUUUUCAAAAAUCUUAAAAGAACUGAAGCUGCUGAAACUUUUACCUCUCUGGGAAAUUCAGCUGAAGGUGACAGAAAGUUCAAAACUUUUGGCAGAAAGGGGAAUUGCUGGAUGGACAUGGCAUGACCAUAUGAACCUCAAUUCUUUGGGAAACCAGAAAAUAAAAAAUACUGACUUUCUAGAAGAGGCUAUGAGAGCAUUCCUCCAAGAUGACAUUUUUUAAAACUUGGUCAGAUCCCUCUGCAGGAGACAGGUUAUACAAAGGGAAAGGAGAGCUCCUCCGGCACAGUAAAGACCACAGCUGGUGCCUAACAGGUACGAGGGGCUGGAGAAGGUGUAACCAAUGCCAGAUGGCACUUGGGUCAUUCUCGGCUGGCCCCCCAAUCCCUGCAAGCUGCGAGUAGCCAACCUGCCUUAAAGCAGCUCUGCAAUGUCUUUAACUAUGUGGGGGCGAACAGCCACUCUGCCCCCUCUCCUGGCUCUGCCGUGGGCGCAGAUGAGUGCAGUUGGGAACUUCAGCCUAAAAUUACUGAUGACUUAUCCUGUCAGUCUUGCUCAUAAGCCAAAGCCCUGCAGAGCCUCAUUUCCCUUGCAGAAGGAACUCCUGGGGAUUAGGAAACUUUCCUGAUGGAGAGGAAAAGGGACACUGACUCCAAGAUGUUGACAUCUCAGCCUGCUCCAGUUUGCACCCCUUCACUCAGGGUGGUUGGGUGAAGGGUGCCUUGGACCCCCUUGUCUUCAGAGGGAGGAUCCCACAAGUGCAUCUCCUUUAAAAAAAAUUUUUUGAGUGGAUUAGUGAAUAUUAGUUUACCCAAGCAUGGUGAUCAAACUAAGCCUGAAUCAGUAGUGCCUCCAGAGGCACCUAAAGGAAAGCUUAUUGCUUCAGUUUUCUCCUCUUCCAUAAAUUUCAGAGCAACCUCAGGAGAAAUUAACACAAAAGUACCUUCCCCUUACCUCUGUAGGGAAAUACUUGGAUUUCUGAGAGGUUUUUUGGCAAGAUCUGCAAAUAGAAUCACUGCCAACCACAGUCAGAUCUCUCUGUUGAAAAGUGGAAAACUAAAGAUGGAAGGACGAAAACUCAGGUGGGUCAGCUGGCACAGCACGCCUCGGGUCAGCAACGCUUAGCCCUGCCACACCUCAGAACAACCUUGGAAACCUUCGUCCAGGGCAACAUCUUCAAAACACUUCAGAUGUUUCACUCUUCCUUUUUUUUUUUCCCAGUUAACCACCUGUCUUUUAAUUUUUUCCCUUGCUCCCAAGGGUGCCGCACAAUCUUAUUUCCCCUCAGAUUCGAUGGAAACAGGGGCGUACCCCAUCUUCACAUUUUCUGGAUGAAGUGGAAGUGCAGCACCCAGCACUAGACAGGUCACGGCAAUACAAGAUUCACCCUACCUCUGGGCAAUGCCACAGCUGAAUUUAAGUGUUCAGCUGCGUAUGAAAUACAUGCUUGAUAAAGAAUGAGAGACUAAUGAAGACAGCAUGACUCUGAGCAAGCACAAAUCUUGCAUGGUGUUGCCAUCUUGAAUUUUAAACCAAGAUGGCAAUUAAAGAUGUGAAUGACGUCAACUGCAGUGACCCACCUAAACAAGAUGCAAUUAAUAGUAGGCUGACCUCUCUUACCCUUCUUCCCCCAAACCUCUUCUACUUAGCUUACUGCUCCUAGGGCAAAGUGCUCCUGAUUAGCACUAAUCAGGUCUUACUUAACACGGUUGUUUAAAUAGUUAACUCCUCUUUCUUGCUGCAUUUUUAACAUAUGCACCACACCCUGUUUAUGGUUGAUAGGGAAGGAUUUGAAUGCCUUUAACAUCCUUUUUUAGCAGGUCUUUUGCAGGCAUGCUUGUCUAAAGCAGGCCGAGUGUCUAUAGGUGACACCAUACAGUUAAUGCUCACAUGCAAGGAAUACUCUUGAAAAUCCUGAUACUGAAGGGCAUCCUAUGGGAUAUAUUCUAUAAAUCAAAUACGUCUAACAAAAUCUAUGGCUAUUUUCUGCCUCUCUGCAACACACCAUUCCCUAGAGAAGCUGGUACUCUAAUGGUUGACAGCUGAGAGGAACAGGAAUAAUUGCAGGCUGCUGCCACCUCUGUCUUAGAAAGUCUAUAGCCUUUUAUCAUUGACUAUCAGGAGUAAUUUGCUUGCUUGACACUAUGGGAAUGGGAUAUACAGAACUAAAUGUUCUAUCCACUGAUAAAUACCAAAAACAUACACAAGCAAACAAAACGCUUAAAAAAAAAAGUGUAAAUAAAACUUCCGUGCUUUCAUGGUAAUUCCUGUCUGUUGCUGUGCACAUGCAUCAAUGUGUGUGUUGAAUGCACACCCGGCUGUGAGAAGGACGUAGCUGAAGCUGGGUCUGUGUCGAUCAGGGACUCUCUGUGCUGCCCGAGGAACUGGCUGCUAAACUAUCUGUUCUUCACAUAAAUACAUUAAUUUAGAUAUAAAAAAAUAUAUAGAUGAUAUUUAUAAGAGUAAGUUGAACAGGGAGUCCUUAUUGUUUGGCAGGGAUGAGACAGUAGUGGCACAUGGAGGAGAAAACCUGGUGAGAGUCCCUCAGCCGAUGUAAAUCCUGCAGGGAUGCCAGGUGAGGUGGCGUCUGGGAACUGAAGGUGUUGCUGGGUGUAGGAUGAAUGCAAUGCCGAGUGGAGCAUCCAGCACACUGCUAAACACCACGGAUAUGUAACUACCCAGAGAACCAGAAAGAUCAUUUUCACAACAGCCUUAUGGAUUAGGAUACUUUCAGAGGAUUUUAGGGUUGUCACUCUGUGCCCAUCGUCGUGAUUCUUGGGUUCGUACCCCCAUCACAAAAAAUUUUCCCCUAUCUCCCAGUUUAGGCUUAAUUUUUGUUUUGAAAACAGAACUUGGGUAAGUGGACCAACCUCACUCUCACCUCAGAAUAUUUUAGGCCUUGUCACGACCCCACAGACCAGCAGGAAUCUCAGUGGAGGGGAAUUUCAGUCCAGAAUUUAAAGCGUUUACUUUGCUCCCACUGCUUUUCAUCUAUUUUCUCUCCUCCUGGUGUGUACUUUUCCUGCCCUGCUGGCUGUGGUGCUGCAUACUAAUAGAGCAAUACUUGGCCCAUCCCCAGAGGAAGUUGCACGCAGGUUUAUUGGGGAACAGAGGAGCGAGAAGGAAUUUCAGCGCAUCCAAUAACUCUCCUACCGAUGGGAUGCCUUCAGGUAACAGCAGAUAAUUUGAUCCCAGCCAUUUCCUAUUGUUAUACCACUGCUAAAAGAGCAUUACCUCCAAAGAAACAUAUCCAACAUCCUCUCCCUCAUUAUCUAUAUACUGCAAUAGCUUACAAAACUGUAACAUUUAUGUGUUUCUUAAAAGUGCUUAGAGAAGGAGGCCUAUCCUGCUACAUCCCCUCUGCCCGUGAUUCAGGCUGACAACCUGCAGGCUUUAUUUCUUGCUGUAAACACACUGAGAAAGGCUGGCCUGAUCUUCCAACACAGAUAGGAAGCGAUUUCCUUCAGGAGGGGUUAGGAGGAGUGGCAGAAGCUUUUGAUUUUCAUUCUUCAUGCGAUUAUUAUCAGCUCCUCAGCAGUACUAAUUUGGGAUUGCGUGGUAUGCUUGGUGAGAGAAGGAAGCCUUUUGCCCCUCGAUCAUUUCCUUUCAUUCCUCAGGCCGGUGCAAAGGUCAAUAAAGAAGCGGACACUCAUCAUCGGCUGAGCGAGCAAAGGAACGUAUUUGGUGCUGCCGGUCGGAUAACUACAAGUGGGUAAACCCCCAAUUAGCAGCAGGUCCCAGGAACUUUGCGCUCUCUUCUCUGCUGCAGUGCGGCUUCCCCAGGCAAUAUUCUCCCUGUGGAAUAUCCCAUGGCCUGAGGCACAGAGCCCUCUCCCGGGAAGGGAGCUUGAACACAUCCAGAGUGGGAACUGAAGGGAGCCCAACAUCUCUUGCUUUCCAGGAUUUAGGUGCUAAGCCCACAUUAGCUGUGCCUGCACUAAUAGAGCUGGGAGACUGAGUACAGGAGAAGCGAUCAAGACUGGAGUGUCAACAAAGGCACCAGAUGCCACUGAUGCCUCUUCCACACUUCAGUCCUCAGGCACCACAGCAGAACCAGGAACUCUCCUGACUCCAAGGUUUCCUAGUAAAGACAGAUUUGAAGAGGCACAGCCACCUCCCUAAGUGAUAAAAAUAAA